GAUGAAGAACGUAGCGAAAUGCGAUAAGUAGUAUGAAUUGCAGAAUUCAGUGAAUCAUCGAAUCUUUGAACGCACAUUGCGCCCCUUGGUAUUCCAUGGGGCAUGCCUGUUCGAGCGUCAUUUGUACCUUCAAGCUCUGCUUGGUGUUGGGUGUUUGUCUCGCCUCUGCGUGUAGACUCGCCUUAAAACAAUUGGCAGCCGGCGUAUUGAUUUCGGAGCGCAGUACAUCUCGCGCUUUGCACUCAUAACGACGACGUCCAAAAGUACAUUUUUACACUCUUGACCUCGGAUCAGGUAGGGAUACCCGCUGAACUUAAGCAUAUCAAUAAGCGGAGGA
rnacentral:misc_RNA from 1 species